AUUGAACGCUGGCGGCAGGCUUAACACAUGCAAGUCGAGCGGGGUGAUGGUGCUUGCACUAUCACUUAGCGGCGGACGGGUGAGUAAUGCUUAGGAAUCUGCCUAUUAGUGGGGGACAACAUCUCGAAAGGGAUGCUAAUACCGCAUACGUCCUACGGGAGAAAGCAGGGGAUCACUUGUGACCUUGUGCUAAUAGAUGAGCCUAAGUCGGAUUAGCUAGUUGGUGGGGUAAAGGCCUACCAAGGCGACGAUCCGUAGCGGGUCUGAGAGGAUGCUCCGCGACAAUGGGACUGAGGCACGGCCCAGACUCCUACGGGAGGCAGCAGUGGGGAAUAUUGGACAAUGGGGGGAACCCUGAUCCAGCCAUGCCGCGUGUGUGAAGAAGGCCUUAUGGUUGUAAGGCACUUUAAGCGAGGAGGAGGCUUACCUAGUUAAUACCUGGGGUAAGUGGACGUUACUCGCAGAAUAAGCACCGGCUAACUCUGUGCCAGCCGCCGCCGUAAGAC
rnacentral:rRNA from 1 species